AAACUACUUCCUCCGUCCGGAAAUACUUGUCGUGGAAAUGGAUGUAUCUAGACGUAUUCUAGUUCUAGAUACAUCCAAUUUUAUCUAUUUGUGCGACAAGUAUUUCCGGACGGAGGGAGUAUGAA
rnacentral:pre_miRNA from 1 species